GCAAGUCGAACGGUGAAGCAGGAGCUUGCUCUUGUGGAUCAGUGGCGAACGGGUGAGUAACACGUGAGCAACCUGCCCCGGACUCUGGGAUAAGCGCUGGAAACGGCGUCUAAUACUGGAUAUGAGACGUGACCGCAUGGUCAACGUUUGGAAAGAUUUUUCGGUCUGGGAUGGGCUCGCGGCCUAUCAGCUUGUUGGUGAGGUAAUGGCUCACCAAGGCGUCGACGGGUAGCCGGCCUGAGAGGGUGACCGGCCACACUGGGACUGAGACACGGCCCAGACUCCUACGGGAGGCAGCAGUGGGGAAUAUUGCACAAUGGGCGAAAGCCUGAUGCAGCAACGCCGCGUGAGGGAUGACGGCCUUCGGGUUGUAAACCUCUUUUAGCAGGGAAGAAGCGAGAGUGACGGUACCUGCAGAAAAAGCGCCGGCUAACUACGUGCCAGCAGCCGCGGUAAUACGUAGGGCGCAAGCGUUAUCCGGAAUUAUUGGGCGUAAAGAGCUCGUAGGCGGUCUGUCGCGUCUGCUGUGAAAUCUGGAGGCUCAACCUCCAGCCUGCAGUGGGUACGGGCAGACUAGAGUGCGGUAGGGGAGAUUGGAAUUCCUGGUGUAGCGGUGGAAUGCGCAGAUAUCAGGAGGAACACCGAUGGCGAAGGCAGAUCUCUGGGCCGUAACUGACGCUGAGGAGCGAAAGGGUGGGGAGCAAACAGGCUUAGAUACCCUGGUAGUCCACCCCGUAAACGUUGGGAA
rnacentral:rRNA from 2 species